ACAGAUCAGCUGCUAUGGACACCAUACUGUUCUGGCCAAGCCAGGGUUCCUGUGACAUCAUGCCCUACUCUCCCACUGUCAGCAAAAUUCCCUGAGGGCAACAGCUGCUGCUGCCUACAAACAGUAGCUGUUCUCACUCUGCCCAGGGAGGCGUGCCAACUCCUCCUUCCCAUGAAGUCUCCUUUCUACUCAACCCAAUUUGCUGAGUCCAGUGAAGGGGAGGACGCCAGGAAGACGCUGGAAAAAUGCAUUACCUAAUGGAGAACUGCAGCAAGAGGCCUGUGACCCUCCAAUGAGCAUCCUGAAUUGAGGACUGCCAUCUCCCACAGCCCACUGAGAUCACCUUGUGCUGGACCCCAGCCCAACACCCCAGGACAUGUAGCAGAUGAAGAAGGUUGUUUCCAGUGAAGGCUAUGUAAUGAAUAGAUUUUAACUGCAUCUCAUUAGCAGUCUUUGGAACAUCUAGCAAACUACAUCACUGUGAUCUGAAAGUUCAGGGUUACAGAGAAAAUGAGAACUGUGAAAGGAAAGAACUGCUUUCCAUUUAGUUCUGUUUCCAUGCUGUACAUCUAGGCCAUGGGGGGGGGGGGUUUUACCAUCUAUCUUUUUCUGUGGUGAUCAGAAUUGUUCACUUUCAUUAAAGUAUUGGUAGAGUAGGAAAGAAAUUUCCUAUCCCUAA